rnacentral:miRNA from 1 species
UUUUCUCUUAACAACAGAGGA